rnacentral:rRNA from 1 species
AUGGCCGUGGUGUUGAGGGUGCUGGUUAUGCCCCCUGGCCCUAGUAAUGCUAGUGCUUCACAGAGGCUGGGUUUUGGUAUUGAUGUCGCUGUUUCAGCGCUGGAGCGCGCUGAGCAUAUCUUAAGUAAUGUGUGUUCUGAGUUGCAAAAGGUCCCAACGACAGUUGAGCGUUUGAGCUGUAUCAAUGGUAUCCUUCCUGAAGGUCAUCAAUUUGACGCCGAGGAAGCUAUUGACUACAUUGAGAUGGAGAGAAUUUUAAUCGGUGAUAUGCGUGAUGGUGCCGCUAAUCUAGUUCAGAGCUCGGUUCGUCUGUUGAACAACAUGAAGCGUUUCAGAAGUACGCAAAACUCUCGCUGCAAGCCAUAUGAAGAAAGUGCAAAUGUUGUUAUCAAGUAG